rnacentral:rRNA from 1 species
AUUGAACGCUGGCGGCAUGCUUUACACAUGCAAGUCGAACGGUAACAGGCCUUCGGGUGCUGACGAGUGGCGAACGGGUGAGUAAUGCAUCGGAACGUACCCAGAGGUGGGGGAUAACGCAGCGAAAGCUGUGCUAAUACCGCAUGUGAUCUGAGGAUGAAAGCGGGGGACCGAGCAGCAAUGUUUGGCCUCGCGCCUUUGGGGCGGCCGAUGUCGGAUUAGCUAGUUGGUGGGGUAAAGGCCUACCAAGGCGACGAUCCGUAGCUGGUCUGAGAGGACGACCAGCAACACUGGGACUGAGACACGGCCCAGACUCCUACGGGAGGCAGCAGUGGGGAAUUUUGGACAAUGGGCGCAAGCCUGAUCCAGCAAUGCCGCGUGCGGGAAGAAGGCCUUCGGGUUGUAAACCGCUUUUGGCAGGAACGAAACGGUGUCCGCUAAUACCGGGCGCUAAUGACGGUACCUGCAGAAUAAGCACCGGCUAACUACGUG